UUUUCCGGUUAUUACCCGUCCCCUUGUGUGUUAUGAAGGGGACACUUUUUCAUUUGUUCCCUUUGUCUCUCAUCUGUUGUCCUGCAGCUGGCCUAAAGGACAAUGUUUUUGAGCAUGUCCAGUAUUCAGCUAUUCUGAUUGUUUAAUCUUUCUUACUUUCUCAGUACUGAACCACUGCGAGGUCCACCGCAUCCCCUCUGUCGUUUACCAGUGUUACAGCGACGUCAUUGGCCCAGACUCCGUCACCAUGGAGACAUUCAAACCCACACUAACCAAACUCGGCAAGUCCAUAAAGUUGGACCCUUCUCCGAGCACAGACAUCCUCCGCAAGAUCGUCAGAACCACCAACAUCCAGAGUAAUCUUUAUAUCUGAUAAUGUCUAUGCAAUUUACACAAGUGGUUAAAUACUGUCAUUUUUUAAUAAAGAAAUUAAAGUAAA